rnacentral:lncRNA from 1 species
GCAGAUACAAGGGUUAUGCCUACAACAGCCUAGCAGAGCUAUUGAAAUUCCUUCAAACUCAUAGUGUGUUGGAUGUGUUAGGUUCAAGCAACUCUGAAUUUGUUGAGUUAUUACAAGAUGUGCGUAGAUUUCCGUUUGAUAAGGAGUGGUUGGAUGAUGUUGAAAUGCGCGCUUUGUUUCCUGAUUUACAAUUCUCUCAAAAUGCAUUGCAAAAACUAUUGGAUUCCGAGCAGCGUGUCACGAAAGAAGUUGAAGAGAUGCGUUUAAAGAUAAACAUUUUUAAUCAACAUCUUGAAGAUCUUAAGCAUCAAUUGACAUCCUCUGAAGCUGAUUUGGAGACUAUCAUUCAACAGAAAGCAAAAAUUUUAGAAACUAAGGCUGCUUUAAGUGCCCCUCUCGGCUAUUAAACUAUCGUUUGUUCUUGGAUUGGAGCUUUUUAUCAUUAAAUAUUGUUUAUUUCUUUGCUAUUUUCUGCUUUUCUCAUUUGAAAUGAGCUACUAUGCGUAUUUUUAAAUUGUUAUCGAUUAUUAUUGUUGUAUCAAACAAAGGAAACACCAAAUUAAGAAUAUUGGAAUCGCAUAAUGUUGAAGUGGAGCUAUGAUUCUUAAUUACAACAACCAUUAAUAUACUUACAACAAGCUACCAUAACUUUUGUUUACAUUGCGUUGUUGCUAUAAGAUAUAUCUGUUUCUAAAUUGUCACAACUACUCUGUAAUUAAAUCACCUCUGUUCGAACCCUGAGAAUGUAGGGCUUGAAACGUAACAAGGGAGAGCUUUAUCGUUAAUAUGUAGUCAUAUUCGAUUAAAGGAUUGCAAUACUCACUUUAUAUACCCAAAAAAAUAACCUCCAGUUUUAUCCAUCAUCUUUUAUUUUAUGAAAUUAUCUACCAUCUUUCUCUUAUAGUGAUCCCAUGUCAAAUUAAUAAAAUCUAGUCUGUAUGGACCUUCAUGACCGUCCGUGGCUAUAAUCUAAGAUGUGGGUCUUUGGCCUCUGCUCCCAGAAUAUGUGAUUUGGUUGUCAGAUCUCUAACAACAAACCUAAAUGUCGACUCAUCGUAUGCACACUCCAUCAACCGAAAUGCUGAAAAUGUCCCCUGAUCUUAAAAGAGGCACACAUGUUGAAAUAUAACAUUUGAACAAUCGUACUCCUCCAUCUACAGGCUCACAUCCAUUGCAACAUGUCUCCUCAAUGUUAUUACCACCCAAUAUGGAUGUAUUAGUGGUAUUUUUCUGCAUUUUAUCGCAAGAAACUUUGCAGCGUAGCCUAGUAAUAUGUUAGUGUGUAGCCUCUAAAGAUUGGAUAGAUUGUUCAGAUUUUUCAUCUCAGAACUUUUGAAAGGGCUAAGAAUAAAGUUGUCUGUUGUAUGUGAUUAGCUUGGAGCUAUUCUUGGAAAAGGGGAAAAGAAAGCAUUGUAUACAGCAAUUGAUGCACUUGGUACACCAGAAAAUUUGGAGAGGCUUUAUUUAGAGGUUCAAGCACCAAAUACCAAUCCAUCAUGCAAUUGUAUCUACAUGAACAUGAUCAUCCAGUAACUCAUAGGGACCUCAAGUGUGAUAUAACAUACUUGUCAAUGGACAUCUUGGACAAGCAAAAAUUGGUGACUUGGGAUUUCCAUACAUAAACAAUUUUUAACUUUUAAUGUUCAAGGUAUGCUACCAGCAACACUUUUCUGAUUUGAAGAUGCAAAAGCAUUGGAGUUUAUUGGAAAAUGCCUAGUGAAUUAUAUGUUUUAUUCUAAUAUAUUUCCACUUUGUUAAAAAUAACCAAGUUGACUUUGAAAUUUCACAAGAAUCUCUGAAUCUCUCUCUUUGAGGUUUCACAAUUUUACUGUUUUGAGCCGCCAGGAAUCAAUCAAUUGGUUGGUAGGUUAGAUUCCAAAUUCAUAUGAAAAGCAAAGUGUGAAGAAGCAUAAACCAGUUAUUAUAGUAUUAGUGAAUUACUUUGUGAAUCAACGUCCCUAUAAUAUGACAUACUAUCUAACUGAUGGUAUCUAACCUUCUUAUCCAACUUUCGUCAAAUCAAUUAGAUUUCCUCAAAGUGAAUCCGAUAAGUUAUUUGCAAAACAUCAGGAGAGCUGUCGGAAGGACAUCGAACGUGCUUUUGGAGUGCUUCAAGCUCGAUUUAAAAUCAUCCGUGAACCAGCUCGCUUGUGGGACAUAGCCGAUUUGGGUAUCAUCAUGAGGUCAUGCAUCAUAUUACAUAAUAUGAUUGUUGAGGAUGAACGAGAUACAUAGGUUCAACGUUGGACCGAUUUUGAGCAACCUGAGGGAAGUGGAUCUAGUACACCGCAACCAUACUCGACCGAGGUGUUACCAUCUUUUGCAAAUCAUGUGCGUGCUAGAUCCGAGUUGCGUGAUUCAAAUGUUCAUCACGAAUUGCAAGCAGAUCUAGUGAAGCACAUAUGGACAAAGUUUGGAAUGUAUAGUGAUUGAAGAUGAUUUGUAUUGUACUAAAUAAAUUCCUUGUGUGUUGUAUGUUUAGUUUAUUAUCUUGCAUUUUAAGUUAUUUGUGUGUCACGUGUUUAGUUUGUUGUCUUGCAUUUUAAGUUAUUUGUGUGUCUCAUUUUAAGUUAAGAAAAUAAAAAUAAAUUAUUUUAUAAAAUUUUGUUUUUCCAAAAAAACUAAAAAAUAAAUAGUUAAUUGUAUUAUUUUAAUUUAAUUAUAAUCGAUAAUUUUAGGGCUAAACUACACUUUUCGCCCCCUAUGUUUCAAAAUGUUGCAAUUUUGGCCCCCUAUUAAAAAAAAUGGCAAUUUUGGCCCCUUUCAUCCAAAAAUUGCUGAGAAGACGCCACGUGUCCCAAAAAAAGGGCCAUAAUCGCAACUUUUUGUAAAGAUAAGAGGUCAAAAAGCAUAUUUCCCUUAUGUUAGGAGGUCAAAAGAGCAUAUUUCCCUAAACAUAUGGGGCAAAAGGUGUAGUUUAGCCUAAUUUUAGGUAAUUAUAAAAACAAAAAUAUAAAAUUAAAUAAAAAUAAGAAAUAAAAGGUGGUGGGGUAGAGUGUUGACUGAAAAAACCAUUGGAGAGGCAAAAAAAUUGAAUGAGUGUUGAAUUAUGAGAGAGAAAAUUAUGUAGAGUGUUAGAAAUUGAAAAAGUGGGUGUUGAAGGGUAUUGAAAUUUUUUUACCAUUGAGAAUGGUCUUACUUAAAACCAAAUCGUGACCAUUGGUUGGUUUAGUUCUUGUGUAAUCAAUCAAUAACUGAAGCUUUAAAUCAACGACAAGACUUGACUAGCUAGCUAGCUGUGAGCCUGUGAAGUCUCUGAAUAAUUUAAUUGAACAUUUACUUUAUACGUUGGACCAUAAGUUUGUUAUCAGAACUACAAUAUCAAAUUAUUCACUUAAUGCUGAUUGCAGAAACAGCUCUGCUAAUUUAAUGCUAGCUACUGUCCAGUUGUUGAGAACAGAGAAUUGAUACAAUUGCAGCACAUCUUCCGCCUAUGGUAAUUUCUCUUUUAUCUUCUCCUUCUUACAUGCAAACAUAAUAAUAACUACCACUUUAUUAUUGCAUAUUUGCAUUUAUGAAAAGUUAUAACAAUCUCAGUAUGUUUUCUAAAAUUAUUGGAAAGACUGUCUAGUUGUUGAACCAUAAUUAUAUUUCUACAACAGAGUUGUUGCAGUAAACACUACCUCGCUACUGCAUAUUGGAGAAUGAUCUUCAACAUUUGCUGAAACUGCUGGAACUAAGGUAAUCAUACUUUUAACAAUUUUAAUUAAUUUCUUAAGUUUUAUAAAUCAACUUGAGUUUUAUGCUUUUGUAUUAUUUUUUAGAGAACACCAACUUGAAUGGAUAAGGAUUGAAUCAAUCAAACAUAGUCUAUCUGUAAUAAAUUUUCUGUUCAAGCCAUGUUAUCUUUUCUUUUCAAACUAAGAGCUUAAAACCUGAAGCCUGCUUCCAAGUCAAAAUCCUCAAAAAUGUCCUCUAAUUUCAAGCAUUGAAAAAAGGGGAAAUAACAGUGGAUUGAUACAUACUGACGUAAGUUACAAAAACUUCAAUAUUUUAGAAAGCUACUACAUUGAUUAAAUAAAAGUUCGAUAUCCACUAUGAAACACUAACAGGAGAGGAGAGCCUUACCAUUUUGUAAAUGAUAUGAAAGGAUUAUUUAAUAAGUUGCAACAAUGCAAGGUCCUAUCUUUUAACUACGCACACAAUAUGCCAAAACUAUUUUGUAAAAGUUAUUGACUCUGCAGCUUUUGUUUGCUGCGGAACAUGAAUUACUCCUAAUUCUCUUGAUUGAAUCUUUAAUAUUGGAUGGACUCCCUGUUUCAAAUUACUUUGAUGAAAAAUGUGUCAUCAAGUAUCAUUUUUCAAAUGAACAGACUUCGAACGAAGAAAAUCUUACUACACAAAAAAAUUCUUUGAUGAAAAGUGUGUCAUCUACUAUCAUUUAUCAACCAUUUUAUUUCUCAAUACACAAUACAACACACACACACAAACAUAUAUAUGCCUAACUUUGAUCUAUUGAAAUUUAUUUAGAUGGCGAGUUUUCUGACUGAUUUGGCGAAGCCUUAUGUAGAUAAAUUGAUAAAUGGGGCGAUUGAAGAGUCAAGUUAUAUAUGUUGCUUCACGUGCAUUGCUAAGGAUUUUGAAGAAGAAAGAGCUAGACUAGAAGUAGAAAGGACGAAGAUGUUUAAGUUACUGCUCUUUCUUGGGAAGAAGAAGCCGAUAAGCUUAUUCAAGAAGACACAAGAACAAAACAAAAAUUACCACCACUUCACUUUCUAGAAGUUGUUUUAGGAAAUUCUGACGAUGCCAACAUGGUACUAGGGUUUAUGAGAUCCAAAGGCGCUGCCUUUUACUACCCCCACCGGACCAUGGGUUCCGGUGGUCUUGCCGACUCCUGUUUUCUUCAUCUUUUUGCUUUGCUGAAAGCCUUGGAGAGAGCAAAUGGAUUCGUUGUCAAUAUUGAUGAUCCGGAAUCUGUGCUUAACUUGAUCGCUAUGCUGAGAGACUUCCAAUUUGAUGGUGCUUGGAUUGAUGCUUUGGAAAAAGUUGUGAAAGAGUCCAUUGGUGUGUCAAACACUAAACUAGCAAGUUUGGAAAAGGCCAAGGGUCAAUCGGCCAUGAGGCUUGGACAAGCAACACUGAUUCGUGAUUAUCAUCAAAAACAAAUGGAGUUAGAGCAAGGCAAAAUUCUCUCACUUGACUUGGAGCGUGAAAGGAUCUUGAAGUUUAGGCAGGAACUUAACAAUGUUCGUAUGAUUUAGGUUGGGAAUUUGUUUUUUAGCACCUUUUUCAAGAUCCUGCCUAAACUUCAAGAUCCUUUCACGCUCCAAGUCAAGUGAGAGAAUUUUGCCUUGCUCUAACUCCAUUUGUUUUUUAUGAUAAUCACGAAUCAGUGUUGCUUGUCCAAGCCUCAUGGCCGAUUGACCCUUGGUCUUUCCUAACUUGCUAGUUUAGCGUUUGACACACCAAUGGACUCUUUCACAACUUUUUCUAAAGCAUCAAUCCAAGCACCACCAAAUUGGAAGUCUCUCAGCAUAGCGAUCAAGUUAAGCACGGAUUCCGGAUCAUCAAUAUUGACAACGAAUCCGUUUGCUCUCUCCAAGGUUUUCAGCAAAGCAAGAAGAUGAAGAAAACAGGAGUCGGCAAGACCACCGGAACCCAUGGUCCGAUGGGGGUAGUAAAAGGCAGCGCCUUUGGAUCUCAUAAACCCUAGUACCAUGUUGGCAUCGUCAAAAUUUCCUAAAACAGCUUCUAGAAAGUGAAGUGGUGGAAGAUUGGUUGCACCAAUCUCGACCACCGUCGCCACGGUGGAGUGGAGAAAACGGAGGACCUCCGUUACGGCGGCGAGCUGGAGGAGUAACCUGAACCCAAACAUCAAAUUUAAAUGAUUCACAUUUCCACAUUUGGAAAAACUUGAACUCAAUAACUGCGGGGACGGUAAAAUCAUCAAGGUAUCCCUAUUUUGUAUAUCUUUGUUAUUCGUGAAUCUAAACUUGAUGAUUUUAAGUCAGCAUAUAUUUUUAAAUGAAUAAUGUUCAAGCCUGCAAAAAACAUUAAAAUUCAAAGGAUGAUUAAACAUGCGGAUUUUUUAAACAAGUAAUUUUAUGUUGGGACAAAAAAGAAAACAUAAUAAUUUUAUGUGAACUAAAAACAUUUAAUUUUUUUAAACAAAUACAUUUUUUUAGAGUGUGUCUACUAAUAUGCACCUCUUAAAAUUGGUUCAAGGGUGGUUUACUAUAUUUAGUAAACAAUGAGAUUUAUAUUAAUAAAAUAUGAAGAACAGAAAAAAUAUUUUAUUAUAAUUUACUAAAAUAAAGAAGGGUCCACCUUUGGAUGGUCCAUAUUAAAUAUUAGAAAAAAUAGCGAGUUCAUCUAUCUGAGAACUCUUAUUUAUAGAGAAGAUGAACUAAGUGGUUGCCACUUAAGUGAAAGAAUAAAAAUGAGAAAUAUAUAAAUAAAAAUAAAGAGAUACAAAGACCAUGCAGACAUUAAACAUAUUCCUGGUACAACCAAGCUGAAAAUAAAUCAUGGAAAUACAAACCAAAUAGAUCAACCUUAAUCAAUCCUAACAAAACAAUCACUCAUUACGAACGCAACUCAGUGAACUCGCGUACGGGUAUGAAAUCAGGUUACAAAAAAAAUGACGAGUAAGCGUCUGUAGGAUCAAACAAGGUUCAUAAUUGACGAAUGGAUUGGCCGCAAACGUGGUAUCAAGAUUCAUGUACCAACAACCAUUGAACAAAGCAAUAGGCAUAAAAGCUCUUUUGAGCAUAACAGUCUGAUCACAAUCAAAAAGACUAAGAUGGAUAAGAAGUCAGUACUAGAGAGUAGCCCGCCCGUCUUCAGUCUUGCAGAUCUCAACAAACGUGGAAUAUCAGAGAAUCAAGCAAGCACAGAAACACCAAAUCAACCGAUUUCAAAGACGUGUUUGAUCUCAGAUCGAGGGAUGAGUUCAAUAUGUUAGUAACCAAACAACCCUUUUGAGUUAAGACAACCAGACCCUUUCGGGUUUGAGAAUCCAAGCCACCGCAAAAAAGGCCAUAUCUAUUGCCACCACCCACUCUCAUAACAGAAACACACGGCAAACACACAAAACAAAAAUGAACAACAACACAGACCAAAACAAACAACAACACAAAGCAAAAAUAAAAAAACGGUGAAACAAGUUGAACUUAGGUUUGCAAUUUUUGUAAUAAAGUGCAACAAGUUGAAAUAUGUAUUUCCAAUCUCCAUAUGUAAAGAGCUUCCUGAGCUAAAUGUUCUGAUGAUAAGAGAAUCAGAUGAGCUAGAGGAAAUAUUUGUAAUUGAAGGUGAUGAUCAGAAAGUGAAGAUUCCAAAUCUAGAAUGUGUAGUAUUUGAAAAUCUACCAAUCCUCAGUCAUGCCCAGAGAAUUCAAUUUCAAGCUGUAAAAAAUCGUUUCAUACGGAAUUGUCAAAAACUCUCUCUGGAAUCAACAAAAAUACAUGCCUUGUCUGCUUCAUAUUUUCGCAACGGUACACACUCUAUCCAAUAUUUUUAAAAACUAUUACAUGUUUGCUGUAAAUUAUUACAUACGAUUUGUUUAAAGGAGCGGUAAGAGGUAUGCAUGCAUAAGUAUUUCUAAAAUGUAAGGGCUCAUGUAGUGACCUAUCUAAUAGAAGCUUUGAUUUUAUGUAAAAUUUAAUUAUUAGGUAGAUUGAUAAACAAUUUUGUGCAUCUUUAAACUUGAAAAUGGUGAUAUACAAUUGAAAGUGGAAGUUUUUAUUUUAUUAUUAUGCUUGAGUUACUAUAUAAUGAUGUUAAUCUCUAUAUUAUUUUGCUGUAGAUCCUGAAUUGUGUAGGUAUUUCAAGACUCUGUUUCGACAACAACUACAAAAAGAGACCAAAGGCAACAAUAGUGGUAAUGAAAAUCCAGAAACCUCUAAAAAAAUUGCCGUUGGGGUUGAAGUUAAAGCAUCAUCAGAACAUGAGCUGACUUCUCCAAAGGUCAAUACCGAUCUAUUGAUUCAAGCUUACCGCACCAGAAUUUAAUCAACGUGACAAUGUAUUUGAUUCAACCAUGCUAUUUUUUGUGCAGAAAAAAAUGAAACGGACACCAGAGACAGAGCAUGAACUUGUGGAAAAUGUUCCCGAUUUAGAAAUACCAACAAAUUCAAAAGUGAUUUCCAGGCCAUGUCAAACUGCGUUAGAAUUUUAAUGGAUGUAAUUAAUAGCUGAAGAUCAUUAUUGCUUCUGUUCUUGUUACAGGAGUUGAUGAAUGAACAAUCGAUGGAACAGCAACGUCUACUUGGAGAACCUGAUACUACCAUCAAACUCUGUUGUCAAUAGCGGCCUAACGCGGCGCGGUCGCGUUGCGCGUUAGGCAAAAGCGGCUGAAAACCGGGUUUUGCGGCCGCUUUUCGUGGAGCGGGAGCGGGUCUAGCGCGGCACGUUUCCGGGUCGAAGCGAAAUUACAGAAUUACCCCUCACUUAAGUGACAUUAGAAAGGUUAAUUUUGUAAUUUUCAAAGCCCUAUUUCUUCACUUCAUUCCAUCGUACAGAGAACAGCCGCUUCUUUUCCUCUUCUCCCAAUUCAAUCGUACAACACUAUUAGGUUUUCACUUCAUCUCUUCACUUCAUUCCAUCAUCUCUUCACUUCAUCUCUCAGCUGCUCAGAUCUUUCACCUCAUCCAUCAUUCCAUAUCUCAGCUGCUCAUAAUUAUUGAAUUCGAAGUUUUAUUUCAUGUUUAGUACUUUUGUUACUUUAAGCUUUAGAGGCUUAAAGUGUUUGCUACCUUGAAUUUUAUUAGUAUUUCUUGCAAGUAUGUUCUUAUGUUUUGCCUAAGACAUGUUUUAUUUCAAAUUAUGAAUUGAGUAAUAUUUAAGUUGUUUUAGUAUUUCUUUUUCAACAUUAUAGUAUUUUAGUAUUAAAUAUAUUAGUGUCCGCGUCAUGUAAUAGCGCCCGCGUCGCGCCCGCAUACCGCACCGCGUCAAUUUUUGGUGUGGCCGCGCCGCGUUUCCGCUUUGACAACAGAGCCGUCAAACCUUCUCAGGUAAAUCAUGUAAUGUCGUAACACCGCGUUGUGCAUAUAAAGCUAAAAAUGAAAUACCGAAAGAAACAUAUUUUAUUUCAAGUGAAUCUUACAAAUAUGCACAACUAACUAAUUUACCUUUCUAUUGUAUACAAUUAGUUGGAGGUGUCUACCAUUUCAGAACCAAAGAAUGUAGCAGAAACGUGUUCCACCAAUUCACCAACAAAGAAUUAGCCACCUAUACAAGUAGUUACUCCUUGCUAGUAUUCUUUUUGACACUUUGUCUAUGCAGGAAUUGACUUAUACUACAAUCUUAAACAUCUUUUUAAUUUUAAGCAGGUUAGCGAAAUAAGUGUUGAAGAAGGAACUACUUUAUGGAUGAUGAUUUGUCCAUUCUCUCCUUCCGAAUCUUUCGUCCUUUUCGGUUUGACAACAGAUAUUAAGAAAGUACAAAAUUAGACAGGUUUAGUCCAUUUUAUUCGUAAUCCAUUCAAUGCAUGCUUUCGGUUUUUUGUAAGUGUGCAAAAGAAAAAACAUCUUUCAUUAUAUUUGGUUUCCUAAAAGAACCAAAAUUUUGGGACAAAAAUAAAAACUAAAAGAACCAAAGAUCAAGUACGGACGGAGUAAUAUGUAUUGAGGCUAAUCCAAAAAAUCAUAUUAAGACUUCAUGAUGAUAUCAUUUGUAUGUUUGAAUUUUUGUAGUAAUAUAGUGACGGCGAAAUGGCCAUAUCUUCUCCUCCAAUUUCCAUGACAAGGCAUUUUGCCACUCCAGACGUUCAUGUUAAUAACUUGCAGGAAACUAGUAACACUAAUGAUGAUCAAGGUGAAGACUCUUUGGAUCAAUUUUAUUUUCUUAAGUUAUCUCAUCACCCUUUUCAUUUUGAAGUUUAAAUCUCUUCUCUCACACCUUUUGUUCAGUUUCUCUAAAUGACGAUGCCGUCAUAAAAGUAACCUCAAUUGUUGAGGAACGAUAUUCUAAGGAUGUCGAAUUUGAAGUUCUAGAAUCGAAGCCCGCCCUUAUCAUUCCUUCGCCUCAAGCAUUUCAAUCUCCUUCGAUGCUAUCCGGAGGUAUAGAUUUUCUCCCUUCAUUUUAUUUUUUAGAACAUUACUUGGUACUCAGAGAGGACUAAUUAUCCUUUUCUAUACUUUCAGGGGACCCUUCUCAACUAGAUGAAGAAUUAGUAAGUUCAUCAUGAGGUCCAUUUUUUCAUUAAUAAUUGCCAUUCGAUAGGUUUCCUAUGAAACAAGAUUUAAACUAAUUUUUUUAUAAAGAUUUUUUUUUUUUAAGUCUAUUGCUUCCGAAUCUUAUAUCCAAAGUUAUGGAGAAUCGUUGCUCAAUAUUUGUAGAUGCUUAACACUGAAAUUCUUGUUUUCUAUUUUUAAUUUUAUUCGUAGUGGAAUCAGACUCUUGCAAAAUAUAAUAUAUGGUGUAAAAUAUAGUGAGGUUGAUCCAUUAUAAGAUAUGAUAUAUCAUUUAGUGAUUUAAAUCUGUGUAGGAAGAUCUUGAUGACCAAAUGGACAUGACUUCUUUUUCCAUUGCUACUACAGAGACCAAUGAUGAAGGUGAAAAUGCUUUGAAUCUAUUUUUAUAUUCUUAUCUUACUUCGAUAUUCAUCGCCCUUUUGAUUUUGAACUUUAUCCUCUCUCACAAUUUGUAUAGUUUCUCGAAAUGAUGAUGCUUUCAAGAAAGUAAGCUCAAAUAUUGAGGAACAAUUUCCUAAGAUUGAUGAUAUAAUAGUUUCCAAAUCUAAACCCUCUCCUUGAAUCACGUCUUUUGUUGCAUCUUUUGUUGCAUCUGAGUUUCCUCUGGUGUCUUCUAAAGGUAUUUUAUUGCUUGCAUUUAAUUUUUAACUAACUUUGGUGUGCUCAAGUAGGCUUAAAUAUUCUUUCCUAUACUUUCAGGGGACCCUUCUCAAAAAGUAGAAGAUUUCAGUUCUUCUUUGCAUGUCAAGAGGGAGCUUGAGCAACUAGUCUCCAAGAAGCAUUUCGAUUAUGAUAACUUGUCUUUGUUGACUGAUUUCUUUGUUAAGCAUCCUUUGGUUCUUUUAAACGACACUUCAUUGAGUAACAGAUACAAGGGUUAUACCUACAAUUGUCUAGCGGAGCUAUUGAAAUUCCUCCAAACUCAUAGUGUGUUGGAUGUGUUAGGUUCAAGCCACUCUGAAUUUGUUGAGUUACUACAAGAUGCACGCAGAUUUCCAUUUCAUAAGGAAUGGUUGGAUGAUAUCGAAAAGCGCGCUUUGUUGCCUGGUUUACAAGUCUCUCAAGAUGCAUUGCAAAAAUUGUUGGACUCAAAACACAUUUUGACUCAACAUGUGGCGGAUCUUAAGCAUCAAUUGGCUUCCUCUGAAGCUGUUUUGCAGAACAUCACUCAACAGGAGGCACAAAUUUUACAAACUCGGGCUGCUUUAAGUGAUCCUAUUGGCUACUAAACUAUUUUUUUCCAUACAUUCGUUCAAGAUGUUCCCUGCUUCUCUUUAUCCUUGAAUAUUAUUUAUUGCUUGGGUUGUUUUUCUGUUUUUCAUUUCAAAUGAAUUAAACAAAUCUUAUUGAUUGUUGUAUCAUUGUAUUAUUGAUAUCUUCCUUAUUUCGAAUAAGAAAACACGUUGAACACAUUUUGCUAUGCUAUACACCACUCAUCAAUCAAUAUGCAUCAAAUGCAUCCUAAGAUUUGGAUAAAUAUUGGAAAAUAUCAAAUAGAAUUUCAUAUUCAGAAGAUUAUCCAAACUAGUAUAUACGACAAACAAAAUGUGACUAAGAGAAAAGUUGGGAUCAAACAACAAAAAAAAUACUGGGAUACAGUUUCAAUAUGCAGAGAUGAUGAACGAAUUUAGUUUUGUAGAUUCAAUAGCAUGGUUGUUAUAAGUUACAGACGGCACCUGCAGUUGCAGCUGCAAUAUAAAGGUUUUUAAAGUCCUCCUAAUUAUAUUACAACCACAAUGUAGACAUAUUAGUGGUAUUUUUCAGAAUUUUAUCGCAAGAAGAAAGUUCUAAACGUAACAUGGUAAUAUGUUAAUGUUUAGUGUAGCCUCUAAAGGUCAGAUAGACUGUUCAGAUUUUUCAUCUCAGAACUUUUGAAAGGGCUAAGAAUAAAGUUGUGUUGUAAGUGAUUAGGUUCGAGCCAUUCUUGUACAAGGGGAAAUGAAAAACAGUGUAUAAACAAUGUCUAGUAAUUAUAUUCCAUCAUUGCUACUUUGUUAUGCUUUCCAUUGUGGGAACAUUUGUACUUCAAUAUUGUUCAUUUCUUGGGUGUAACGUUUCGUCGUUUCUCAUCCGAAGUGAACUAAAGAGUCUCAUUAUGUUUGUGUAUUUAAAACUAUUAGUGAUUGUUGCAUGUUACAUUGAUGAAGUUAUUUUACUGAAUCUUUCAUACAAUAUUGAUUGUGUUUGGGUGUAUUUAAAUAAUGCACCCAAACCCCAAUAUAUAUAUAUAUAUAUAUAUAUAUAUAUAUAUAUAUAUAUAUAUAUAUAUAGGACAUAUACUAUGAGAAUGUCAUUUUUAUAUAAUUGUAUCGUGUCAUUAGUAUUCCUUUUUUGAACACUACUAAAAUAGAAUUUUGAUUUUCUUUUUUAUUUUGUAACAAAAAAAUUGAAUUUUGAAUUCCUCAUGGAUCAAGCUUCGUAGAACAUUUGCUCAGAAGAAAAAAAAAGUUUCUUAGAACAUAUCCUUUUUUUUAAUUUAUCUUCCUAUAAAGUCUAGAUAAAUGCAUGCAUGCACAUUAUAUGAACCUCGUUGAUCAAUUAACAUUUUUGAAACGAAUGGAAAUUAAGCAUCACUCCCUCAUGUGCAUCUAUAGCUAGCACCAUUUGACAUUGAUGUCUUCGAACAUUUGGUGCAACUCUCAUAAUACCAUCCAAACUGGUUAGGAUUGAAUUUAGUUGUUUUUCAAAUAGUGAUGCAAUAUGUAUCCUAACACAAAUUAUGCACAUGAAAUAAAGAAUAAUGCAAUAUGUAUUUUUAAUUUGUGCGUCAAAAAAACACAAAGCAUGUUUGUGCAUAAAAAAAGCAGACCUUGACUAAGUUUAUAAAUCAGCAAUUGGCCUAACCUAAGACAGAUUGGAAAAAUCGUUGUACGUUGAGAAUAAGCCGAACUCUGACUUAAGUUCUGACUGAUGCUUUGACUCUGAGCUUGAGAAGUGUGAAGGUCAUGAGUCAUGACAACAAUUUAAGAAACAUGGUCAAAAAACAAUCAAAUCAGAUUGUGAAAUAAUAAGUUAGCAUGAGCUAAAAUUCAAUCAUCAUGACUGAAGGUGAGAAAAACACAAGAAGGGGGGUUGAAUUGUGUUUUCUUUUUCUCUAAAAAAUACUGUUAUCUUGAUUUUGGGGUGUCAAGUCAUUAAUUAGGCUUGAACCUUUCAAUCAUUGAUAAUCUCUAUUUUUUUUCUUGGGAAGGGUAAAAUUGAGAAAACCCUUAGAAACUCUAAGUUCGGGGGUCGUUUUCGUUACGGGAAGGUGUUAGGCACCCGCAAUGACUAUAGUACUCUAUCGGAACCGUUUUCCUAAUUUUAUGUCUACGCUUUAUUUUUAAUGCUAUUUAUUAAAAAAGGAAGUUGUUUAUGUUAAGAAUGGGGGGAGGAGUGUUUGGAUUUUUAUUUUAUUGAACUUGGAGAGGUUUUGACCUCUUGCCUACAUACCCUUUUAAGGGAUCAAAAUUUCAUGUAGUUCUCUUUCAAAAAAUGUUUUUGUGUGUUUCAAUUGAUUUUAAGUUUUUUGGAAAUGGGUUUUGAAGAAAGGAAAGAAGCCGUGAAGGCAUGAGAAAAAAUGGUGAGUGGUUGGUUCAAUUAUUAAGAAAAGAGUCUAUGUUGGAAUUAAAGUUCAUUUUGAGUUUCUCUUAAGAAAAUAAAGGGAAAAUUCAAUGGAGUUUUGACUCCAAGGUUUAUUAGGAAAAAAAAUUUCAAGUGAUGGAAUUUGCUUAUUUUUAAAAAAGAAGAAUAUUUUUCUAAGUAUCGCGUUCCCUAAGCAUACAUCUAAAGCGGUAAAUCAUCAUACAACGUGUGUGCGUGUCGGUGCUUGUAUCGGUGUACAUCAUUAGAGUCCAUUGUCCAUUACAUAGGCCCUAGUUUACAUUCUAUGGUCUUGCAAGAAUUUAAAAGAAAAAUUGAAACUACCUAAAUUUACAUGCCAACUUUAACAUAGAAAUGAAUAGUAAAAGACCUAAACUAUAAGAAAUGGAGAUGAAAUGAUAGAAUGCUUAUGAGGUGAAUGAAACAAGAAAUAAAAAUGGUUAGUAGAAUAGGGCAUAAAAUGAUAGAACAAGUUAGCAAAGAAAUACGAGAUAAACGGUAAAAACAACAACAAUAACCAAAAUGUAAAAAGUACACAUUACUUGCAACACAAGAAAUUAACAAAUCACAUUAAAAAUAGUACAAACAAACACAUGAUCAGAGACAUAUUCACCACAAAAUUGCAUAUCAAUCAUUCAUAUCGUGCCAAGACCUCAUGAACAAAUUAUGGCAAGAAAAUUCACAAGUUUAGUCAAAAAAUGAACAAAUCAACAAGAAAACAUUACAUAUAUUUUUUAUCAUUUUUUAACAUGUAAAAACAUCACAAAAAUGUUAAAAAUGCAUCAAGAAACACAUAGAAAUUUUUUUAGGAAUUUUUGCAAGAAAAUUAGAACAAACAGGGGUUCAAAUAGCAAGACAGCAAGGUGCAAAUAGCAAGAAUACUAACAAGAAAAAAAGGAAUCUGCGCAGAAGGAGGCCCAAGCCCAAAACCUAAGGCCUGGAUGCACAGGGAGCGUUGGAUUGAUCCAGGGAGGGAAACCCUAGAUCCAACGCUCAGGAUUGCAGGGGAUUGGACCGGUCUUGAACCGGUCCGGUCUAGUGGUCUAUAUAAGCAAGCCUACACCGGUUCAAUCACUUUGCUAUGUUCUUUCUCUCUCUUCUCUCAUCCUAGUGAGAGAUGCUCUCGCCUCUCUCUUCUCUUCCUCCGCCGGUUUCUGGAAUGAGCGGCCGGAGAAGAUGAAGAUCUGGCCGGAACCUUCAUAGGUCCGCCGGAAUCUUCAUCUUCUCCGGCGAGAUCUCCAGUUUUCCGGCAACCUCUAAUCUCACCAGAACUUCGAAAAUUUUACAACAAACUCUUCGUUUCUUCAUCCUAAACAUGAUUCUAACACUGGUUUUCACAAAUAAAGCUUGAAUCAACGUAGAUCUAAAGAUUUUGCUACGGUUUUGAAAGUAUUUUUAGGUUUUUCAGUUUUUUGAAAGAAACUCUUUGAAACUUUGAAGAUCUACAUUGAUUCGUUCUUGUUAUUGUUCUUGAGAAAGGAAAAUGAAGAUUCAAGUGUUACCUGUGAUUUAAUCGGAGAUUUCGAACGAAAAUCUUCGGAAAACUUCGAUCUGAUUCUGUUUCGUUGAUUUCGUUCUUGAAUCCGAAAAUAAAUCGGUGUUCUGGCUGGUUCGAUUCUUUCUUCUUCUUCACCGGUUCAAAUUCUUCUUCUUUUCCUCUUCCUCUUCACUGAUUCUCUGUGAUCGGUGCUUGAGUUUGCCAAUGGCGAAUUCGCGCCUUGAAUUGCAGAGAAUCCGGUUCAAUGAUGAUGAUUGUUUGAAGAAUCACUGAGAACUGAACGAAUUUAGUUGAAAUUGUUGAUGAAUUGUGAUUCUGGAAUUCUAGGGUUCAUGAAUGUUCUUCAUGUUCUUGAUAGUUUCUGAGUUUUUGAUCUAACUGAAUGGAGAGAGAAACUGUGAUUCUGUUUGUUGAGGUGGCGUGAAUUGUGUGGAUCCUCUGGUUUGUGCAGUGAAUGCACCUUUUAUAGGCUGUCAAGUGUGCUUGAGACCCAAUGGGAGAGGGACACCUGUUUUUUGGACUUAGGGACCUCUCUGCAAAAAAGAAAAAUUGAAGGAUUGGACUGUAAUAAAAAAAAUGGACUAAAAUGCAAUUUUUAAACUGUUUGGGACUGAAAUGCAAUUUUAGAAACUGUUCAGGGACUAAAAUGCAAUUAAAAAUAAAAUUGGACUAAAAUUGGUAAUUUGGAAAAAACGUAAAUUGAAACCAAAAAUAAAAUCAACAAAAGGACUAAAAUGAACCAAUUACAAAAAUGAGGUAUUUCAAAAUACCUCUCUGUCGAAAUUUUGACAGGAAAAGACCAAAAUGCCCCUAGGGACUAAAAUGACUCAACCUGACUCAGAUGCAAUUUUGAAAUGAUUUUAAACAAAGACUCAACAGUGAUUUGUAAAACAAGUUGAAAAGACUCGUAGGAAAACACAAGAAAAGUAAUGCAAUGAUUCAGAGAAUUUUCAAAUAACUUGUAAUGCAAGAAAGACACUUUGGAUAGUUUUAUGCAAGAAAAUCAUGAUUGAACACACUUUGAGACAGAGACAGUAAAAUAUGCAGAUGAAAAGAGAGUCAAGAUUCAGAGUAAAACAACAGUAAAUUGACAAAUAUCAGUGUUAGAAAAGAAAUUUGAAUGAGUAUUUUUAGGUCCAAAAUCAGGGUAUAACAAUUACUUCUUCUGAUAAUACUUCAGAAGCUGUUUUGGAAUGCUUCUGAUGUAAUAACCAGAAUCAGAUAUGCAGCGGAAAAGAUCAAAGCAGAGAAAAGAAAAACGAGACACAAGUAGUUAUCCUGGUUCCUUCCACAAAUCGGAAGUAGUCCAGUCCCCCUUGCACUUCCAAGGAGAUUUCACUAUAAUCACAAAGAUUACAAAUGCUCAAUACUCUCUAAGUAUGAGACUUCUCAAAAAUGCUCAAGCACGCACGCAAGAGUCUUCUAAUGCUCAAGCACACAGGCAAGAGACUUCUGUUCAAACAAAAAUACAGAGAAAAUGUUUGACCUUGAACACUUGAUAUACAAUCAGUAGUGUUCACAAAUACAAUGCAAUAAAAACUCUAGACUUGUGAAUUUCUAAGAUGUAUCAAAUCAGUGCAGAAAUUCAAUGUGCUUUGUAGAAUCAAAUUGACAGGGUUUUGGCGCUUUUUAACUUGUAUAUCUCUAUCUACAAUCUUCAAGUCUUCACUCCCUUAUAUAGAGGUGUGAAAGAGACGUUGAGAUGAUUAGCACGUCUAAAGAGUCGUUGAGUUCCUUUGAUCAUCCACCAGUAAUCAUUUGUCUGAUUUGGGUGUAGUCCUUUGAAGAAUUAGCUUCAAAUUCAUUCCCAUCUUGAAGGAACAAUUCUGCAGGCAUAGCUGUUGUCUUGUCUUGUAGCGUAGACAAAAACAGAGUAGUGGAGGUAGUGGUUGUACACUUGUACUUUGUCAACUCUAUUAACGCAGGACAAGUACUCAGUGUUCUUCAAAUGACCGUUGAUACCUCCCUUUCAAUUCUUCGUUCUUCUUAGACGAGGUUGAAACGAGAAACAGCUACUUUGAAUCUUCAGUUUAAAUUCACUGAUUAAUUGUACCUUCUGGUGAUGAUUUCGCUUCUGAUGAAAACCUUGCUUCUGAUGACGUCAUUACUUCAGAAGCACUCCAGCUUCAUAAGCACUUUAGCUUCAGACGCAGUUUUCUUCAGAUGCUUCAGAUUACUUUGCUCUCCAUUGUUCUUCCAAGACCUAUUGAAAUUGAUUGACUUGCCUAUGGUCCUGUACACUUGAACAAUUAUUAGCAAUAACCAAUUGACAAUUUUUAAUAUCUUGUUAUCAUCAAAAUUUAUUAUGGUUUAUUGUGAAACACAUUUUGUUCCAACAAUGACCUCUACUAUACUCCACACUACAAAAGAAGAUUUUUCUACACUCAUGCAGCAUAACAAUUUCUGGUACAUAAUCCACUAAAAAUUGUAAAAAAAAACAAAAACAAAAAGACCCUUAAAAUGCAGAAUUGUGAAAAAAGGAAGAAAACCACCUAUGAUGAAGCAAAAACUAAAACAGUGUUGAAAAAUGAACCCCUCAAGCCAUAAAAAUCAGUCAACUAAAGUCAUGCAUGGUCUCAGAACCAUGAAAAAAGGAAGAAAAUGACCUCUUACGAAGAAGAAAGAGAAACAGUGUUCACAGUUGAACUUAGAUACCGUUAGGGCAAGAUUUUUUACGGUCUAAAAGUUACUUCAAAAUAAAUUUAAAAUAAAGGCUUUUAAGAAAGAAGCUAAAGUUGUUUGGUUUCUUUGUUUUUUUAGUUUCAAAGCUAUUUUUAAGUUAAAUGUUGGUUGGGAAAAUAUUAUACAAACUUUGAUAUUUUUUUUUUUUAUGUUGUCCGGAUUCGAACCUCGGACUUGGCAUAUAUUUAUGCAUUGUUCCUAUCAUCUAAGCUAAACUCACGAGGACAAAACUUUGAAUUUCUUAUGAAUUAACAUAAUAAAGAAAAAAUGUUUAACAUAUUUUCUGAAGGCUAAAAAUGUUAAAAACGAAAAGAUAUUUUUUUUUUACAAAUACUAUCUUUACUCAAUAAUGUUUAUUUUUUUUAACAUGAAUGCAAAUUUGUAUCAUCGUAUAAAUAACUUGUUAGAUAUUUGAAUAGGAGAAACAAUUUAAGGAGCCUGAAAUAAUAACAUAAAUAAUAUCAAAAUAGCUGAUUUUUUCUAUUUCAAUUAUACUUUAUAAAAAAUUUCGUUAUAAGAAUACCAUAUUUUUGGUGUCUUUUAAAAAGAUAAGAAUUUAUAUUAUAUUUGUUACAUUGUUGGUGUCAUCGAAACAUAUAUGUUUAGUUUUUUUUUAAUAAGAAAAAAAUAUGCAGAGUUUGUUACAAUAUAAAGGUACAAUAUAUAUAUAUAUAUAUAUAUAUAUAUAUAUAUAUAUAUAUAAGUAUAAUUUUUUUAGGCAUCUAUACAUUUUUUGAAGAAAAGACAUCUACAAUUUUACUUUUGAUUAGAAUCAAAAUUUUAUAAAAAUAAUCAUACGCAUUAUGCAACGCCAAAAAAAUUAUACGCAGUAGCGUGACAAUAAAACUAACACACAUAAAGUAUUACUCUUUUUUUUUUGGUAGAUAGACGAAAUGGCAAAGCCAUUAUAAACUCACACACACAAGUAGAGGUGCCGGGGUUCGAACCCCGGUCAUGGCAUCCGGCCUAACAAUUUCGGCAUUUUUGCCAGUUGAGCUAGGACUUCUGGAUACAUAAAGUAUUACUCUAAAUGCUAAUGUGUGUGUCUGUAUAUAUUUGCGAGGUUGAAGAAAGAAAAUAAAAAUAUUUAGUAUCAUUAAAUGACAGCGUGAAUAAAAAUAUUUGUGAGGUUGUGAUGAUUAAACGAUAUUGAAAUUAAAUACAUAAGUGAUAAAAAGAUAAUAAAAUUCCUUUAAAAAAAGUAAUAGAAUUAAAUGGGACCUCCUUAAAAAAAUUAAAUGGAACGGUUCAAAAAAAAUAAUAAUAAAGUAGAAGAAAAAAACAUAUUGAAAUAUAAUAUUAAAAAAUAAAAGAAAAGUUUCCCAACGUGAAUUGAAGAAAGAUUCUUGUGAAAUAAAUUGUCGAGAAGUAGUUUUUUGAAGUAAUAUUCAACAACUUUUGGCCAAAGCUUAUUCUAUUCAAUUUUAUGCAUUAAAAAAGUACAUUUUUUAGUAAGUACUUAAUUGGUAUUGUAUUUGGCCUAACUUCUCCUUAAAAAUGUAGAGAAGUUGAAAAAAAAAAUCGGGUCAAACGGUAUCUUAAUCUCCCACAACGGCAGUGUAAAAGCAAUUGAAUUUGGGAGAAAAAAUUCAAAAAUAAUUAAAAAUAAAAAAAUUGGAAAAUAGUUAAAAGUUAAAAGUUUUUAAAAAUAUAAAAAUAGAUAAAAAAAUCAGUGAGGUAGCACUCAACCAAGCAACACUAAAAAAAAUUAUAUGCAUUAGCUUAACAAAAAAAACAGACAUAAAAUAUUACUAUAAACGUUAAUGUAUGUGUGUAUAUAUAUUCCCGAGGUUGAAGAAAGAAAAUAAAAAUAUUUGGUAUCAUUAAAUGACAGCGUGAAUAAAAAUAUUUGUGAGGUUGUGAUGAAUAUAUGAUAUUAAAAUUAAAUAUAUAAGUUAUAAAAAGAUAAUAAAAUUCCUUUGAAAAAAAGAUAAUAAAACUAAAUGGAACCUCCUUUAAAAAUUAAAUGGAACAGUUCAAAAAAAUAAAAUAAAAUAAAGUUAAAUGAAAGGAAAAAAACAUAUUGAAAUAUAAUAUUCAAAAAUAAAAGAAAAGGUUCCAGCGUGAGUUGAAAAGAGAUGAUUGUGAAAUAAAUUGUCGAGAAGUGGUUUUUUAAAGUAACAUUCAACAACUUUUGGCCAAAGUCAUUCCAUUCAAUUUUAUGCAUUCAAAAAAAUUAUUUUAGUAAGUACUUAAUUGAUAAUGUGUUUGGCCUAACUUUUCCUUAAAAAUGUAGAGAAGUUGGAAAAAAGCCGGGUCAAACGAUACCUUAAUCUUCCACAACGACAAUGUAGAAGCAACUGAAUUUAGGAGAAAAAAAUUGAAAAAUAGUUAAAAACAGAAAAAAAAAUGAAAAAUAGUUAAAAAUUAUUAAAAAUUAUAAAAUUAUAAAAUAAUUAAAAAAAAUUGGUAAGGGGCAAAAUGGAGAAUGCACCCUAAAACAUGUGAGGUGGCAACAACCAAAUUUCACCAAAUAGUAAAUUACAAAAAUGCUCCUCUUAAAGGCAAAAUGGUAAAAUCAUAGAGAUUAAUAUUUAAUAUAUAGUAAGUAGAUAGUAAGUAGAUUAAAAAAUGUAAUAAUGAUCUCAAAUGAUAUGACAAUUUUACUAAACUAGUCUUAAUUACUGUUGGUAUAGUAUACACUCAAUUCAUUAGAGAGUGUAAAUUACAUUUAUUUUGAAACAAUUUUUUUUUUCUUCUACGGCUACUUAAACUAGAAAUUUAGACAAACAAGAGGGUACAACAACAUUUACUUCAAACCAAAUCGUGACCAUGGGUUGGUUUCAGUUAUUGUUUUAUUAAAUAAGUGUGACCCUAUCUAUGCAUAAGUGAAGCUUUAAAUCAAUGAAAAGACUUGACUAGCUAGGUAGCUGUGAAGUUUCUGAAUAAUUUAAUUGAACAUUUAAUUUAUACGGACCCUAUCCAUCCCUUCUUCUUUUCUUUUCUGAAUACCAAUGCCUUAUUCACUUAAUGUUGGGUACUGCAGAUUGCAGAAACAGCUGUUAAUUUGAUUUGCAGAUUGGAAAACCAGGUAAAUAACAAUAUAUUUUGCUUGAUCAUUCAUUCAUGUACAAAGAUAAAGUAGGUUUUCUAAAAUUGUUGGAAAGAUCGUCUACUUGUUGAACAAAAAUUAAGCUUCCAAAGUAUAUUUCUACAGCAGAGUUGUUGCAGUCAACACUACUAGCUACUGAAUAUUAGAGAAAGAUCAAGAGAAUAGUUCAUACGGCUUGAACAUUUGCUGAAACAAGGUAACAAUCAAUGAUAUGCUCAUACAAAUUAUAUUUAGUACAUGCUUUAUUUUAUGAUCCAUGUAAUCACAACACUGUAGCUUUUUCUUAUUCUAUUUAAUGUUUUAAGUAGUUACUUCAAAUAUAGAAUUACCAAAGUUACAAAAGGGGAAAUAACAUUGGAUUGAUUUUUUUUUUUGGUUACAUAACACAUUGGAUUGAUAAUCACAUUAUUAUAAUAAUAAUAAUUAUUAUUAUUAUUAGAGAAAUGUUAACUAGUGUUAUUAAAGUGUCCUUAGGGCACUUGUUAAGAAGUCUACAGAAAAAAUGUUGUAUUGGAAAUAGUUUAAAAAAUAAUUUUUUUUACAAAUUUUUUUAUUUUGUUUUGAAGGAAUUAUUAUUAGGCUAAAGUGCACUUUUCGCCCCCUAUGUUUCAUAAUGUUGCGAUUUUGGCCCCCUAUUAAAAAAAGUAGCAAUUUUGGCCCCUUUCAUCCCAAAAUUGCUCGGAAGAUGCCACGUGUCCCAGAAAAGGGGUCAUAAUCGCAACUUUUUGUAAAGAUAAGGGGUCAAAAAACAUAUUUCCCUUAUGUUAGGGGGUCAAAAGAGCAUAUUUCCCUAAACAUAGAGGAUCAUUUUUGCCAUUUUUUUUAAUAGGGGGCCAAAAUCGCAACAUUUUGAAACUUAAGGGACUUUAGCCUUAUUAUUAUUAUUGGUAGAAAUUACAAACUAGUUUAAAGAUCUAAUCAGCGGUCAUGUCAACGUCGAUUAAUUGUUGACAAACAUUUAUUUAACGGAAUAACUUAAUUUUUUUUUUUUUAAGAAUCUGACUAUAACUUCUUUUUUGCUUAGAGAUUUGUUUAAAAAAAGUUCAAAUAAUUUAAGGAUUUGCACAUUAACUAAACUUUUUUUUUUUUUCAAAUAUCAAAUAUAUAUCAAAAUAUAGCCUUAGCUUUUCAAACUCUCAUCUUUAAAACCCUCUUAAAUUCAACUUGCAAAUCACACCGUAUAACUCAAUAUUUCAUUUUGGCUUAAAUGUCUCCCUGCAUUUUUAUCACUUUUUAGGAUUGGUCCCUACAUUUUUAUUUCAUCAUCUUGUAAUUAUUCCAUCAUCUUGUAAUUUGUUAAUUAUAUAAAACAAAAAAAAAGCCACCAUCCAAGUAUUUUCUCAACAAUUUUGUGUGCAGAACUUGAAUAUCAAGGACCAUUGCCUUAUUUCACUUGAUGAUGGCUACUGCAUAUAGCAGAAACAGGUGUUGUAGUGUCUGCUGCAGAACUUGAAUUGGAAAACAACAAUCAUUCAUAUAUAGUUGUUGAUCAAUCAUACCAUAUGAAGUUUUUUAGAACUAUUACCUUGAAAUGGAGAAUUAGUUGGUGAAACGCAGAAUUGAUAUCAUGCUCUUUUAUCCUCUCCUUCUUACAUGCAAACAUAAUAACUACCACUUUAUUAUUGCAUAUUUACAUUUAUGAAAAGUAAUAUUUAACCAAAAUUAUAUUUCUACAGCAGAGUUGUUGCAGUCAACACCACCUUAUUAUGAUCUUGAUGAUGCUAGCUACUGCAUAUUGGAGAAUGAUCUUGAACAUUUGCUGAAACUGCUGGAUAUAAGGUAAUCAUACUUUUAACAAUUUUAAUUAAUUUCUUAAGUUUUAUAAAUCAACUUGAGUUUUAUGCUUUUGUAUUAUUUUUUAGAGAACACCAACUUGAAUGGAUAAGGAUUGAAUCAAUCAAACAUAGUCUAUCUGUAAUAAAUUUUCUGUUCAAGCCAUGUUAUCUUUUCUUUUCAAACUAAGAGCUUAAAACCUGAAGCCUGCUUCCAAGUCAAAAUCCUCAAAAAUGUCCUCUAAUUUCAAGCAUUGAAAAAAGGGGAAAUAACAGUGGAUUGAUACAUACUGACUUAAGUUACAAAAACUUCAAUAUUUUAGAAAGCUACUACAUUGAUUAAAUAAAAGUUCGAUAUCCACUAUGAAACACUAACAGGAGAGGAGAGCCUUACCAUUUUGUAAAUGAUAUGAAAGGAUUAUUUAAUAAGUUGCAACUAAGCAAGGUCCUAUACUUAUUAGUUACAGGAUCCUAUCUUUUAACUACGCGCACAAUAUGCCAAAACUAUAGUAUGCCAAACUCCAACAAUUUUGUAAAAGUUAUUGACUCUGCAGCUUUUGUUUGCUGCAGAACAUGAAUUGCAAUAACUAUUACUCCUAAUUCUCUUGAUUGAAUCUUUAGUAUUGGAUGGACUCCCUGUUUCAAAUUACUUUGAUGAAAAAUGUGUCAUCAAGUAUCAUUUUUCAAAUGAACAGACUUCGAACAAAGAAAAUCUUACUGCACAAAAAAAUUCUUUGAUGAAAAGUGUGUCAUCUACUAUCAUUUAUCAACCAUUUUAUUUCUCAAUACACAAUACAACACACACACAACCAUAUAUAUGCCUAACUUUGAUCUAUUGAAAUUUAUUUAGAUGGCAAGUUUUUUGACUGAUUUGGCGAAGCCUUAUGUGGAUAAAUUGAUAAAUGGGGUGAUCGCAGAGUCAAGUUAUAUAUGUUGCUUCACGUACAUUGCUAAGGAUUUUGAAGAAGAAAGAGUUAGUUUGGAAAUAGAAAAGACAACUGUCAAGCAACGUGUUGAUGUGGCAACCAGUAGAGGAGAAGAUGUUCAAGCUAAUGCUCUUUCUUGGGAAGAAGAAGCCGAUAAGCUUAUUCAAGAAGACACAAGAACAAAACAAAAAUGUUUUUUUGGAUUUUGUUCUCAUUGCGUAUGGAGAUAUAGAAGGGGAAAGGAAUUGACAAAUAAGAAGGAGCAAAUUAAAAGAUUAAUUGAAACUGGAAAGGAACUUUCAAUUGGACUCCCUGCUCGUCUUCCAGGUGUUGAACGUUAUUCAUCCCAACACUAUAUUCCUUUUAAAAGUAGGGAAUCCAAAUACAAAGAGCUUUUGGAUGCAUUGAAAGAUGACAACAAUUAUGUAAUCGGGUUGAAAGGAAUGGGGGGCACAGGAAAAACUACAUUGGCCAAAGAAGUUGGUAAGGAACUUAAGCAGUCCAAACAAUUUACUCAAAUAAUUGACACGACAGUGUCAUUUUCUCCUGAUAUCAAAAACAUUCAAGAUGAUAUUGCUGGACCCUUGGGAUUGAAAUUUGAUGACUGUAAUGAAUCAGACAGACCCAAAAAACUAUGGAGCAGGUUAACCAAUGGUGAAAAGAUUCUUCUAAUAUUGGAUGAUGUGUGGGGAGACAUCGAUUUUAAUGAAAUAGGGAUUCCAUACAGUGACAAUCACAAAGGCUGUAGAAUUCUUGUAACCACGCGCAAUCUCUUGGUGUGUAACAGAUUAGGAUGCAGUAAGACAAUGCAACUCGAUCUGUUAUCUGAAGAAGACGCAUGGAUCAUGUUCAAAAGGCAUGCUGGUCUUAGCGAAAUUUCAACUAAAAAUCUGCUUGAAAAAGGGCGUAAAAUUGCAAAUGAAUGCAAAAGGUUACCGAUUGCAAUUGCUGCUAUCGCCAGCAGUUUGAAGGGCAUACAACGUCCGGAAGAGUGGGAAUGGGCCUUAAAAUCCUUGCAGAAAAAUAUGCAAAUGCACAAUGUUGAUGAUGAACUGGUUAAAAUUUAUAAAUGCUUAAAAUUUAGCUAUGAUAAUAUGAAGAAUGAGAAGGCCAAGAGACUAUUCCUCUUGUGUUCUGUAUUUCGAGAAGAUGAAAAAAUUCCUACCGAAAGGUUAACCAGACUUAGCAUCGGAGGAGGCCUUUUUGGGGAGGAUUAUGUCAGCUACGAAGAUGCUCGAAGCCAAGUUGUUAUAUCCAAAAAUAAACUCCUAGAUUCUUGUUUAUUGUUGGAGGCCAAAAAAAGUAGAGUGCAAAUGCAUGACAUGGUUCGUGAUGCAGCCCAAUGGAUAGCGAGCAAAGAGAUUCAAACAAUGAAGUUGUAUGAUAAAAAUCAAAAGGCAAUGGUUGAAAGGGAGAAAAAUAUUAAAUAUUUGUUAUGUGAAGGCAAGCUUGAGGAUGUGUUUUCAUGUAUGCUUGAUGGUUCCAAGCUUGAGAUUCUAAUUGUCACUGGGCAUAAGAAGGAAGGCUUCCACUGCCACGAUUUGAAAAUCGAUGUCCCGAAUUCAUUUUUUGAAAAUAGUACGGGCCUUCGAGUUUUUUAUCUAAUCUAUGAUAAGUAUUCUAGUCUAUCUCUAUCAUUACCUCAUUCAAUUCAGUCGUUGAAGAAUAUUCGAUCUCUUCUCUUUGCAAAUGUCAUUUUGGGUGACAUCUCUAUUUUGGGAAACCUUCAAAGUCUAGAGACACUUGAUUUGGAUGGUUGUAAAAUUGAUGAAUUGCCUCAUGGAAUCACAAAACUAGAGAAACUGAAAUUAUUGAACUUGACAUCUUGUAGAAUUGCAAGGAAUAAUCCUUUUGAAGUGAUUGAAGGAUGCUCGUCACUUGAAGAGUUGUAUUUCAUAGGUAGUUUUAAUGAUUUUUGCCGAGAAAUAACUUUCCCGAAAUUGCAAAGGUUUGAUAUUGGUGAAUUUUCAAACUUAGUGGAUAAAUCAUCAUUGAAGGGGGUGUCUGAUCUUGUAAUCUCAGAUAAUGUUUUCCUAUCUGAAACAACACUCAAGUAUUGUAUGCAAGAAGCAGAGGUUCUUGAACUAGGAAGAAUCGAGGGGGGGUGGAGAAACAUCGUACCUGAGAUUGUUCCUCUGGAUCAUGGUAUGAAUGAUCUAAUCGAGCUUGGUUUGAGAUCCAUUUCACAAUUACAGUGCCUCAUUGACACUAAUUCUCCAGUUUCAAAAGUCUUCUCCAAGUUGGUUGUACUAAAGCUCAAAGGAAUGGAUAAUUUAGAAGAAUUGUUCAAUGGUCCUGUUUCCUUUGACUCUCUGAACAGUUUAGAGAAGCUGUCCAUCAAUGAAUGUAAACAUUUAAAAAGCUUAUUUAAGUGCAACCUAAACCUCUGCAAUCUAAAGAGUCUUUCAUUGGAAGAAUGCCCGAUGUUGAUAUCCCUAUUUCAACUGUCAACUGUUGUUAGCCUAGUGUUGUUGGAGAAACUGGAAAUAAUUGAUUGUGAGCGCCUUGAAAACAUAAUAAUAGUUGAAAAAAACGGGGACGAAUUGAGAGGUGAAAUAAUUGAUGCUAAUGGCAAUACAAGUCAUGGCUCAAUGUUUCCGAAACUAAAAGUUCUUAUUGUUGAGAGCUGUCCGAGAAUUGAAUUAAUACUUCCGUUUCUCUCUACUCAUGAUCUUCCAGCACUAAAAUCCAUCAAAAUAGAAGAUUGUGACAAGUUGAAAUACAUAUUUGGUCAAGAUGUCAAACUUGGUUCGCUCAAAAAAUUGGAGCUUGAUGGCAUUCCGAAUUUGAUCGACAUUUUCCCAGAAUGUAAUCCUACAAUGUCUUUGUCCAUUAAGAAGCCAUCUUCCAUUUCUGAGUCACAAGAACAAUCAGAGCCAAUCAAAUGCAAUAUGUUUUCAUGGACUGAUAUCUAUUGUUGUGGUAAAAAAUAUGGGCACAACAAAUUGAGGAGUACCACAAUUACGAAAAUCCCAUUGGUUUCUCAGGAUCAACUGCUGGAUAACUUAAUGGUAACCCUCUUACCUUCUUCUGUGAUGUUAUUUUGUGUACUUUUUUAAGCCAGUCUGUCGGACUUGUAUUGUAGGAAUCAUUUGUUUUUAUUUUCUUGAAUUCUAUAUUUGCUCACUGAGAUUAUAUAAUUGCAGGAAUCAAAUUCAUAUCCUCUUAACAUAUGGGAAAGUGCUCAAUGUCUUUCAAGACAAUCACAUAUCUUGUGCAAUAUUAAAAAGAUUACACUCUGGAAAAUUUCAAAGAUGAAAUCAGUAUUUAUCCUGUCUAUUGCUCCAACAAUGUUGUUGGAGUCAUUGACAAUCUAUAAGUGUAAUGAAUUGAAGCACAUUAUAAUAGACAUGGGAGAUCAUGACAACACUGGUGGCAAUAACUGGGGCACUGUCUUCCCAAAAUUAAGAUUGUUCGAAGUUGAACAUUGUGAGAAAUUGGAAUACAUAAUUGGACACUUCACUGAUGAUCAUCAAAACCACACUGAGAUUCCUCUUCAUCUUCCAGCAUUGGAGACCUUCGUUCUUCACAAUCUGCCAAGUUUAGUCAGCAUGUGUCCCAAACAAUAUCACACGACAUUUCCACAAUUGGAAAGACUUGUAGUUGAAGAAUGCCCGCAGUUUAUUGGUGAUUUCAUAACUCAUCAUUCAAUAACAAGAUCGGUGGACGGUACAAUCAUCAAGGUAUUCAUCUUUAUCUCUAUAUAUCUUUGUUGUUUGAAAAUCUAAACUUGAUGAUUUUAAGUCAACAUAUGCUUUUAAAUGAAUAAUGUUCAAAUCAUGCCUGCAAAAACAUUAAAAAAAAAAAAUUCAAAGGAUGAUUAAACAUGCGGUUUUUUUAAAGAAGUAAUUUUAUGUUGGGACAAAAAACAAAACAUAAUAAUUUUAUGUGAACUAAAAACAUUUAAUUUUUUUAAACAAGUACAUUUUUUGUGUCUAAUAUGCACCUCUUGAAAUUGGUUCAAGGGUGGUUUACUAUAUGAAGAACAGAAAAAUAUUAAUAAAAUAUGAAGAACAGAAAAAUAUUUUAUUAUAAUUUACUAAAAUAAAGAGGGGUCCACCUUUGGAUGGUCCAUAUUAAAAUAUUAGAAAAAAUAGUGAGUUCAUCUCAUCUCUCUCAGAACUCUUAUUUAUAGAGAAGAUGAACUAAGCGGUUGCCACUUGCCACUUAAGUGAAAGAAUAAAAAAGAGAAAUAUAUAAAUAAAAAUAAAGAGAUACAAGGACUAUGCAGACAUUAAACAUAUUCCAGGUACAACCUAGCUGAAAAUAAAUCAUGAAAAUAUAAACCAGAUAGAUCAACCUUAAUCAAUCCUAACAAAACAAUCACUCAUUACGAACGCAACUCAGUGAACUCGCGUACGGGCACAAAAUCAGGUUACAAAAAAAAAAAUGACGAGUAAGCGUCUGUAGGAUCAAACAAGGUUCAUAAUUGGCGAAUGGAUUGGCCGCCAACAUGGUAUCAAGAUUCAUGUACCAACAACCAUUGAACAAAGCAAUAGCAUAAAAACUCUUUUGAGCAUAACAGUCCGAUCACAAUCACAAAGACUAAGAUGGAUAAGAAGUUAGUACUAGAGAGUAGCCCGCCCGUCUUCAGUCUUGCAGAUCUUAACAAAAGUGGAAUAUCAGAGAAUCAAGCAAGCACAGAAACACCAAAUCAACCGAUUUCAAAGACGUGUUUGAACUCAGAUUGAGGGAUGAGUUCAAUACGUUAGUAACCAAACAACCCUUUUGAGUUAAGACAACCAGACCCUUUCGGGUUUGAGAAUCCGACCCACCACAUAAAAGGCCAUAUCUAUUGCCACCAUCCACUCUCAUAACAGAAACACACGGCAAACACACAAAACAAAAAUGAACGACAACCUAGACCAAAACAAACAACAACACAGAGCAAAAAUAAAAAAAACGGUGAAACCCGAGCCUAAACAUAUUCGGAAGGCAAGAUCAAGAUCUACCGUGAAGCUAGCAAACCAACCCUUGUAGCACCUGAACAUAGCAAGAAGAACCACCAAAGCAAACCAACCCCAAACCCACUUAAGUGAAAGAAAAUAAAAUAGAAACGUAUUUUCGGGCCUCGAUUUGUUCCAGUUUUAUUGAGGAUUCUUUUACUAUAAAUAUAGACAUUGUAUCAGUGUAAACCUUGAGAUAGAGGGGGCUGAAAUAGGUUUAGAAAGACAACAACAAAACUAGGGUUUGUAUAGAGUUUGUCUCUUUGGAACAAACACUGGGAUUUGAGGGUUGAUUCACUUUGGGAAACACCAUUAGGAUUGAGUCUAUUGGUUACGGGAAGAGAUUGGGACUUUGGAUAGAAUUAGGCGGGAGACGUAUUCUUAUAACUCAGUGAAACGGAAGGCUGCUCUCUCCCUAGACUAGGUCAAUUUGGACUGAACUGGAUCUUGGACCGAACUAGGUCAACAAAUUCUCCUGUGUUCUCUCUUCUUUUCUCUGUCGCUGUUUUCUACUUUUGGCUUGUGUUUAUAAUUGUUCCAUACACUUUGUUUUGGUUGUUUGAUUGUCCUUGCUCCACACAUCAAGUUUGUUAUUGGUGUGAUUUUUGUUCGAAUUCACAACACCCACCAUCACGACACCGAACCUCGAGUCUCCAAAACACUUAAACCACUUCCAAACGACAACUAACAGAUCGAAGACGGAAGAAACAUGCUGGAGCGCCAGAAUGAGGAGAAGGGAAUAGAGGAACAAAGAAGGAAAUAGAGGGACAGAGAAGGAAACCCGUCGCACCAAAACUGUGAUGUGGAGGUUUUGAGCUAUUAUCAUUAGAUCGUGUGUUGUGAGUCGCCACACACUUCACAUUUACUCUUCGUCUGCUAGUAAUUUGUCGAAUUGAGGUCUUGAUAUAACACGUGUUGUAAUUUUAAAUAUCCAUGUUCCCACUGUUUGGGUUUGUUGGAGGAACUUGUCGUUGCCCGAACAUAGUCAUUUCUUGUUAGCCUUAUAGUGUGUUUGGACGAGGUAAUUGGAAAAUUUUAAAGAAUUUAGAAUUCUAGGCAAUUUAAAUGAUUCAAUUAAAUUACUUUCAUUUCUCAAUACUUUUGUUUGGAUGGAGUAAUAAGAAAAAUUAUUGUCAUCAAUUUUGGGCAACUUUUAUAAGUUUUAAUUUUUUGGGCCAAAUUUAAAAAUUGAAAUUAAGGGUCAAUUUGUAAAUUUCAAAAAUUUUGAGAGGUCAAGUUAUAAUUUUGAAAAAAUUGAGGGGUCAAUUUGAAAUUUUUUGAAAAUUUAUUGGGGACCAAAAUGCAAAAUUUGAACAAAUAUAACAAUGAAGAAUUUUGAAAUUCUUAACUUUUAGGUGUCUAUUGAAAUUCUCUAAAUUUAACUUGAACAAGUACUUCAUAAAUUUCCAUCAUUUUAAAAAAAAAAAAUUAAAUUGUUUUCCAAACAAUAAAAUUCACCUCAAAGUAUUUGAAUUCCCUCAUUCAAACACACUCUUAGAGUCUGUUUGUUUUGGCUUUUCAACAACAAGAAGCACUUCUACAAACCUCAAAAAGUGGAAAUUGAGUUUUCAAUGUUGUUUGGUUUGGCUUUUUAGAAUUGCUUCUAUCCUCCAACAGCAAUUAUCCUUAAAGCUAAAAUUCCUAACUUUUGGCUUUCCUAUAAUCAAUUCUACAUUAAAUUUUAUAUUUUGAUUAUUACAACCUAUUAUUUUCUUUUAUUGCCCUUUAUCAGUUCUCCUUCUUUUUGCUUUGUAAUUAAUUUGAUGAACCAAAUUUAAUCAGAAGACUUAACGAACCAAAUUAGCCCCCGAAAAAUAUUUAUGGUCAUGAGUUGCCAAAUUUUUGAAUUUUCCUUUACGGUAUCUCCAUUCAGAUUUACUGUAUUUUUUCUUUUAACUUUCUUUUACGCUAUAAGACUGUUAAUUAUUUAAGGUUUUUUUCUUUUGGGGUAGCCAAUGCUACCCAUAGCCCUUCCUCUUUGUCUACAACUUAUACAAAAAUGUGAAUGUAGGGGUUGAUUUAAUAGAGGAACAUAUGAAGUAAGGAUGUGAGUUUUUUCUUUUUUAACGAAUGGUAGAACGAUGGCAGAUUGAAAAACAAAAGGGUUGGGGUGUUGAAAAUUAAAUAACAAUAUUAAUUUAAUUAAACAAAAAGUUAAAUAAAUUUAAUCCAAAUAAAAAGUUAAAUAAAUUUUAAUGGGAGGUUUUUAAUAAUGUAAUAAUGUUACAUUAUAAUGUAACAAUAUUAAUUUAACUGAAAACACUCUUAGGUUUGCUUCCAAUUUUUUCUGUUUCCAGCAAAAGGUCAAACAAGUAUUUUCUACAAGAGAUAAAAAUUCCUUUCUUUGAGUGAACUACCUUAAUUCCAAUAAACACUUGAGUUUGAGUUGUUCACGGUUCUUCAUUUCAAUAAUGAUAACUUAUCUUUGAGUUCCUUGUCUUUCAAAUAAAUCAUCUCCUGUAACAAUAAUAGCAUUAUAGUUUUCCUCAAUUCAUUACAGUUAAAUAGUGUUCAAGUUAAGAAUAGAAGUUUCUUUUUACUAAUUCCUAAACUUCAUUACAAUUAUGUUUCUCUUGAUAUCGGUUGAGCAUAUCAAAUAUCAAAUAUCUCCACAGCCUAUUAUCAUCUCUAUUGUACUUACAGAACUUUGUUAUUCUUAUUUUAUGCAUGUGUUUAUUUCCCAUUCAUUUAUUGCAGGAAUUGAGUGGGAAUGUCGAACAUUUUUGUGCUUUGGAAAGUCUCGAGGUAGAUCACUCCAAUGUAGAAAGUAUCUUUCGUGUCGAUGAAAUAAAUGAACGGCAAAUGAACUUAGCUUUGGAAGACAUUGAUUUGGAUGUUCUGCCUAUGAUGACAUGCCUUUUUGUGGGUCCCAACAAUUCGUUCUCCCUCCAAAACCUUACAAGAAUAAAAAUCAAGGGAUGUGAAAAGUUGAAAAUUGUUUUCACCACUUCUGUAAUAAGGUGUCUACCACAGUUGUAUUAUAUGAGAAUUGAAGAGUGCAAUGAGUUGAAGCAUAUCAUUGAAGAUGAUUUGGAGAAUAAAAAUUCCUCAAAUUUUAUGUCUACAACAAAGACAUUCUUCCCAAAGCUAGAAAAAGUUGUUGUAGAAAAGUGCAACAAGUUGAAAUAUGUGUUUCCAAUCUCCAUAUGUAAAGAGCUUCCUGAGCUAAAUGUUCUGAUGAUAAGAGAAGCAGAUGAGCUGGAGGAAAUAUUUGUAAGUGAAGGUGAUGAUCACAAAGUGGAGAUUCCAAAUCUAGAAUGUGUAGUAUUUGAAAAUCUACCAAGCCUCAGUCAUGCCCAGAGAAUUCAAUUUCAAGCUGUAAAAAAUCGUUUCAUACGGAAUUGUCAAAAACUCUCUCUGGAAUCAACAAAAAUACAUGACUUGUCUGCUUCAUAUUUUCGCAUCGGUACACACUCUAUCCAAUAUUUUUAAAAACUAUUACAUGUUUGCUGUAAAUUAUUACAUACGAUUUGUUUAAAGGAGCGGUAAGAGGUAUGCAUGCAUAAGUAUUUCUAAAAUGUAGUGACCUAUCUAAUAGAAGCUUUAAUUUUAUGUAAAAUUUAAUUAUUAGGUAGAUAGAUAAACAAUUUUGUGCAUCUUGAAACUUGAAAAUGGUGAUAUACAAUUGAAAGUGGAAGUUUUUAUUUUAUUAUUAUGCUUGAGUUACUAUAUAAUGAUGUUAAUCUCUAUAUUAUUUUGCUGUAGAUCCUGAAUUGUGUAGGUAUUUCAAGACUCGGUUUCGACAACAAUUUCAAAAAGAGACCAAAGGCAACAAUAGUGGUAAUGAAAAUCCAGAAACCUCUAAAAAAAUUGCUGUUGGGGUUGAAGUUAAAGCAUCAUCAGAACAUGAGCUGACUUCUCCAAAGGUCAAUACCGAUCUAUUGAUUCAAGCUUACCGCACCAGAAUUUAAUCAACUUGACAAUGUAUUUGAUUCAAACAUGCUAUUUUUUGUGCAGAAAAAAACAAAACAAACACCAGAGACAGAGCAUGAACUUGUGGAAAAUGUUCCUGAUUUAGAAAUACCAACAAAUUCAAAAGUGAUUUCCAGGCCAUGUCAAACUGCGUUAGAAUUUUAAUGGAUGUAAUUAAUAGCUGAAGAUCAUUAUUGCUUCUGUUCUUGUUACAGGAGUUGAUGAAUGAACAAUCAAUGGAGCAGCAACGUCUACUUGGAGAACCUGAUACUACCGUCAAACCUUCUCAGGUAAAUCAUGUAAUGUCGUACCACCGCGUUGUGCAUAUAAAGCUAAAAAUGAAAUACCGAAAGAAAUAUAUUUUAUUUCAAGUGAAUCUUACAAAUAUGUACAACUAACUAAUUUACAUUUCUAUUGUAUGCAAUUAGUUGGAGGUGUCUACCAUUUCAGAAACAAAGAAUGUAGCAGAAACGUGUUCCACCAAUUCACCAACAAAGAAUGAGUCACCUAUACAAGUAGUUACUCCUUGCUAGUAUUCUUUUUGACACUUUGUCUAUGCAGGAAUUGACUUAUACUACAAUCUUAAACAUCUUUUUAAUUUUAAGCAGGUUAGCGAAAUAAGUGUUCAAGAAGGAACUACUUCAUCUAAUGCCAAGAGAAGAACGACAUCAUCACAGGUGAGUUUAUUUUAUUUAACAAAGCCUUCAUAUUAACUUGGUCUUUUUAUUACAAUUCAAUGACCAUGGAAUUGGAUUUGUAAGAAUCAAGCCUUAAACUAAUUUCGAUAUAUUGAGAAGAAAAAAAUCGGAAUCUACAGCUUUUGAAUUUUGAAAAAGUUGGAUUUAUGGAUGAUGAUUUGUCCAUUCUCUCCUUCCGAAUCUUUCGUCCUUUUCGGUUUGACAACAGAUAUUAAGAAAGUACAAAAUUAGACAGGUUUAGUCCAUUUUAUUCGUAAUUCAUUCAAUGCAUGCUUUCGGUUUUUUGUAAGUGUGCAAAAGAAAAAACAUCUUUCAUUAUAUUUGGUUUCCUAAAAGAACCAAAAUUUUGGGACAAAAAUAAAAACUAAAAGAACCAAAGAUCAAGAACGGACGGAGUAAUAUGUAUUGAGGCUAAUCCAAAAAAACAUAUUAAGACUUCAUGAUGAUAUCAUUUGUAUGUUUGAAUUUUUGUAGGAAUAUAGUGACGGCGAAAUGGCCAUAUCUUCUCCUCCAAUUUCCAUGACAAGGCAUUUUUCCACUCAAGACAUUCAUGUUAAUAACUUGCAGGAAACUAGUAACACUGAUGAUGAUCAAGGUGAAGACUCUUUGGAUCAAUUUUAUUUUCUUAAGUUAUCUCAUCACCCUUUUCAUUUUGAAGUUUAAAUCUCUUCUCUCACACCUUUUGUUCAGUUUCUCUAAAUGAUGAUGCUGUUAUAAAAGUAACCUCAAUUGUUGAGGAACCAUUUUCUAAGGAUGUUGAAUUUAAAGUUCCAGAAUCUAAGCUAUCCCUUAUCAUUACUUCGCCUCAACAAUUUCGGACUCCUUCAAUGCUUUCCAAAGGUAUAUAUUUUCUCCCUUCGUUUUAUUUUUAAGAACAUUAUUUGGUACUCAGAGAGGACUAAUUAUCCUUUUUCUAUACUUUCAGGGGACCCUUCUCAACCAGAUGAAGAAUUAGUAAGUUCAUCAUCAGGUCCAUUUUUUCAUUAAUAAUUGCCAUUCGAUAGGUUUCCUAUGAAACAAGAUUUAAACUAAUUUUUAUAUAAAAAAUAAAAAAUAAAAAAAAUUCAGUCUAUUGCUUCCGAAUCUUAUAUCCAAAGUUAAGGAGAAUCGUUGCUCAAUAUUUGUAGAGGCUUAACACUGAAAUUCUUGUUUUCUAUUUUUAAUUUUAUCUGUAGUGGAAUCAGACUCUUGCAAAAUAUAAUAUAUGGUGUAAAAUAGUGAGGUUGAUCCAUUAUAAGAUAUGAUAUAUCAUUUAGUGAUUUAAAUCUGUGUAGGAAGAUCUUGAUGACCAAAUGGACAUGACUUCUUUUUCCAUUGCUACUACAGAGACCAAUGAUGAAGGUGAAAAUGCUUUGAAUCUAUUUUUAUAUUCUUAUGUUACUUCGAUAUUCAUCGCCCUUUUGAUUUUGAACUUUAUCCUCUCUCACAAUUUGUUUAGUUUCUCGGAAUGAUGAUGCUUUCAAGAAAGUAAGCUCAAAUAUUGAGGAACAAUUUCCUAAGAUUGAUGAUAUAAUAGUAGUUUCCAAAUCUAAACCCUCUCCUUGGAUCACGUCUUCUGUUGCAUCUCAGAAACCUCCGGUGCCUUCUAAAGGUAUUUUAUUGCUUGCAUUUUAUUUUUAACUAACUUUGGUGUGCUCAAAUAGGCUUAAAUAUUCUUUCCUAUACUUUCAGGGGACCCUUCUCAAAAAGUAGAAGAUUUCAGUUCUUCUUUGCUUGUCAAGCAUUUUGAUUAUGAAAACUUGUCUUUGUUGACUGAUUUCUUUGUUAAGCAUCCUUCGGUUCUUUUAAACGACACUUCAUUGAGUAACAGAUACAAGGGUUAUGCCUACAACUGCCUAGCUGAGCUAUUGAAAUUCCUCCAAACUCAUAGUGUGUUGGAUGUGUUAGGUUCAAGCCACUCUGAAUUUGUUGAGUUAUUACAAGAUGUGCGCAAAUUUGGUUUUGAUAAGGAAUGGUUGGAUGAUAUUGAAAAACGCGCUUUGUUGCCUGGUUUACAAGUCUCUCAAGAUGCAUUGCAAAAAUUGUUGGACUCAAAACACAUUUUGACACAACAUGUGGAGGAUCUUAAGCAUCAAUUGGCUUCCUGUGAAGCUGUUUUGCAGAACAUCACUCAACAGGAGGCACAAAUUUUAC